CAAAGUCAUGGAUUACAUCAGAUGAAAGAAUACAGCAGCUGAGUGUAGAAUGCAGGUGAAGCAAUUUCCCUGCAGAGGACAAUCCACUGUCACUUCCAAAGCCAGCAGGUGCUCAGAGGAGUGACUGUAACCAUAGAACUGUGCUCAGUGAUACCCCAGAAGAUGAGCAGAACUUGAACAUGAAGAUACUGAUUAUGCUGAAUCUGUUUGAAAAAUAUAUUCCCGAAGCAAAGAAAUACCAUUGAACAAGCCAUUGGUGGUGAGUUUUAGAGACCAAUUUCCUGUAAACUUUUGUAGCUUAAAAAUGAUUUGUUGAAUUUCUACUUUUCUCUUCAAGAUUUACUGUGACAGUAAUUGUUUGACAUAGUGUCAAGACGAAAUUCUUUUCUGUUAACUGAAGUUUUCCA
rnacentral:lncRNA from 1 species